rnacentral:rRNA from 1 species
CGGCGAGUGAAGCGGCAACAGCUCAAAUUUGAAAUCUGGCCCUAGCGGUCCGAAUUGUAAUUUGUAGAGGAUGCUUUUGGUGCGGUGCCUUCCGAGUUCCCUGGAACGGGACGCCAGAGAGGGUGAGAGCCCCGUACGGUUGGACACCUACCCUAUAUAUAGCUCCUUCGACGAGUCGAGUAGUUUGGGAAUGCUGCUCUAAAUGGGAGGUAAAUUUCUUCUAAAGCUAAAUACCGGCCAGAGACCGAUAGCGCACAAGUAGAGUGAUCGAAAGAUGAAAAGCACUUUGAAAAGAGGGUUAAAUAGCACGUGAAAUUGUUGAAAGGGAAGCGUUUGCGACCAGACCUUCUCUAGGCGGAUCAUCCGGUGUUCUCACCGGUGCACUUCGCCUGGUUUAGGCCAGCAUCGGUUUUCGUAGGGGGAUAAAGGCUUGGGGAACGUAUCUCUCUCGGGAGUGUUAUAGCCCCUCGCGUAAUACCCUUACGGGGACCGAGGACCGCGCUCUGCAAGGAUGCUGGCGUAAUGGUCGUCAACGACCCGUCUUGAAACACGGACCAAGGAGUCGAACAUUUGUGCGAGUGUUUGGGUAUUAAACCCUCACGCGUAAUGAAAGUGAAUGGAGGUGAGAGCCCUUCGGGGUGCAUCAUCGACCGAUCCUGAUGUCUUCGGAUGGAUUUGAGUAAGAGCAUAACUGUUCGGACCCGAAAGAUGGUGAACUAUGCGUGGAUAGGGUGAAGCCAGAGGAAACUCUGGUGGAGGCUCGCAGCGGUUCUGACGUGCAAAUCGAUCGUCAAAUCUGCGCAUGGGGGCGAAAGUAUGUAUUAUCCCAGGGUGUAUACCCUAUAAUUCUCCUCUGGAGACAAUAAACAGUAUGCUAACAACAACCUCUUUAGGACUUAUCGAACCAUCUAGUAGCUGGUUACCGCCGAAGUUUCCCUCAGGAUAGCAGUGUUGUUUUCAGUUUUAUGAGGUAAAGCGAAUGAUUAGGGACUCGGGGGCGCUUUAUUGCCUUCAUCCAUUCUCAAACUUUAAAUAUGUAAGAAGCCCUUGUUACUUAAUUGAACGUGGGCAUUCGAAUGUAUCAACACUAGUGGGCCAUUUUUGGUAAGCAGAACUGGCGAUGCGGGAUGAACCGAACGUGGGGUUAAGGUGCCAGAGUGGACGCUCAUCAGACACCACAAAAGGUGUUAGUACAUCUAGACAGUUGGUAUGUACCUAACCUACCUUAUAAUCUCCUCUAUAACUUUAAUACUAAUAUAAAUACAGGACGGUGGCCAUGGAAGUCGGAAUCCGCUAAGGACUGUGUAACAACUCACCAACCGAAUGUACUAGCCCUGAAAAUGGAUGGCGCUCAAGCGUCUCACCCAUACCUCACCCUUAGGGUAGAAACGAUGCCCUAAGGAGUAGGCGGCCGUAG